rnacentral:misc_RNA from 1 species
GCAAACUUGGUCAUUUAGAGGAAGUACAAGUCGUAACAAGGUUUCCGUAGGUGAACCUGCGGAAGGAUCAUUAACAAAUCGUAUUUGUAUGAUGUGUGAAUGUGUUUGUUUGCACACGUACAAUAUAUAUGUGCGCCAGCUGUGCUGGAAUGCAUUUAUUAUUCAUGAUAUAGUGUGAAAAUUGUGUAGUGUGAAUACUAUCUAAACAUACUUUUAACAAUGGAUCUCUUGGCUCUUGCAUCGAUGAAGAACGCAGC